rnacentral:tRNA from 1 species
AAGGAUUUAAGUUAAAAAAAUUAAACUAAUGACCUUCAAAGUCAUAAAUGGAUUGUGUCUAACCCUUG